UCAAUUGCAUUCUUUCAAAAAAGUUUUUUACAUAUUCUUAAAAUUUCAAUUAUUUCUCAAUUGGGUGCUUUUGUCAUGUUUGUUAAAAAAUUUCAGUUGGGUUAGAGCAUCCACUCUUCCCAGCUAAAUCAAAUCCUUAGCUAUAGUAGCUAGUGAGUUUUUUUUUUUUUUCAUGGCAUCCAUGCUCUCUAGCUCUGUGAACAUUGCUCGCUACAUAUAGCGAGCAUUUCAAAUUUUUACUCCUGGUAGGGGAAAAAAGAAAGCAGCACACGGGGAAAGGUUGUUUUUCAUCUUUAACACUAAAAUUCAAGGAGGCACACACUUUUUUUCUUUUCUCCAGCCAAAAGCAUAAAAUCUAAUGGCAAGCACAGGGCCUGAACAUGAGCUUAGAGAAGACGAGGAAGUCUUUGUUUUUGUGGGCUUUGUUGAAUUUGAAGUGAAGAAGAUGGUAGAAAACAAUUUCAAUCUAUGGCACAAAAAUGUUUUCUUCUAUGCUGCAGAGGAGGUUCGAGAAUCUUUUGAUGUUAGAGAAGUUGGGGAGGGGACCUUGUUAUGAUAAAGAUGGAGUAAAUAAAGGACCUUGAACUCCUGAAGAAGACCAACUCUUGGUUUAGUACAUUCAAAAACCUGGUCUUGGUUGCUGGCGUAGCCUCCCUAAGAACACAGGUGCACUGUUGGAAGGGGUAGUGAACGCAAUAACAACACCAUUUGAGGGAAAAGGUGUUAUUAGAAAACCAAAAAUUGAUAGGGAAAUCGAAUGCAUUGAAGGCCGAAUAUAACCUUUUACUAAUAUGUUGAGGUGUUGAUAUCUACUCACUGGCCACUCUUCUACUGUCCGGGCACUUGCUUCUGAUGCUGAAGGAAACAGAAUGAUUACCUGUAGAGAUGAUCUUGCACUAAAAAUAUGGGAAACAGAUGUUGAAAGGAUGUGUAAUCGGGUGAUGAGCUUGCGUCUUGGUGAGAAACAUGUUCUUUAUGUAUAUUGGAUAUUCUGCUCCUCAUUUUAUUACAGCAGAUUGAAAUGUUCCAUGGACGAGAACAGUACUACCUUAGAGGAUAAUGUAAGUAAUUCUCAUCUUAGUUAAUGAUCAAUUGCAGGAUGCCUGUGUUAGAAAGCUUUCAGAUAUCAGUAGGCUAGAGAAUGCUGGAUAGAUACACUUGAAUACUCAUCUUACAUAUAAUUUGAAUAACAAAAAAUAAAAAGAA